UACGGGGGGUGCGAGCGUUGUCCGGAAUCAUUGGGCGUAAAGCGCGCGUAGGCGGCCAGAUAAGUCCGGUGUGAAAGUCACAGGCUCAACCUGUGAAUGCCGCUGGAAACUGUCUGGCUAGAGUCCGGAAGGGGCGAGUGGAAUUCCUGGUGUAGCGGUGAAAUGCGCAGAUAUCAGGAGGAACACCAAUGGCGAAGGCAGCUCGCUGGGACGGUACUGACGCUGAGGCGCGAAAGCGUGGGGAGCAAACAGG
rnacentral:rRNA from 1 species